UACGUAGGUCCCAAGCGUUAUCCGGAAUUACUGGGCGUAAAGAGUUGCGUAGGUGGCAUAGUAAGCGAAUAGUGAAAGCGUGCGGCUCAACCGCAUAUGCAUUGUUCGAACUGCUAAGCUAGAAGACGAGAGAGGUAGCUGGAAUUCCCAGUGUAGGAGUGAAAUCCGUAGAUAUUGGGAGGAACACCGAUGGCGUAGGCAGGCUACUGGCUCGUUCUUGACACUAAGGCACGAAAGCGUGGGGAGCAAACGGG
rnacentral:rRNA from 1 species